rnacentral:rRNA from 1 species
UACGUAGGGCGCAAGCGUUGUCCGGAAUUAUUGGGCGUAAAGAGCUCGUAGGCGGCUUGUCACGUCGGGUGUGAAAGCCCGGGGCUUAACCCCGGGUCUGCAUUCGAUACGGGCUAGCUAGAGUGUGGUAGGGGAGAUCGGAAUUCCUGGUGUAGCGGUGAAAUGCGCAGAUAUCAGGAGGAACACCGGUGGCGAAGGCGGAUCUCUGGGCAGUAACUGACGCUGAGGAGCGAAAGCAUGGGGAGCGAACAGG